GCUACCAUGGGCAUAUGUCACCACUUCUGAGAGGCAGUUCUGCUCUGCUCAGGCCCAAAGGGCAUCAGAGGACACUCCGGGGCAGCCCGGGUCAUCUUCCCAGCACACACACUGCUCAAGGUCAGCUGCACGCUCACUGCCACCGCUGAUGGGAAUCCUUUUUUGAACCACCUGCCUCGGCAGCCCUGACACCAGCCACAAAGCACAGAAACGGCGGCUCUGCAAGAACUAACUUGACUGAGGAGAGCGAUGCUCCCAAGCAGGGGCUGAGUCUCUGCGGGCGAGACGUUUUGGAAGAGAACACCGAGCCCUUCAUCUCAUACGGCACCCAGUAACGAGAGUUCAACUAGAUGACCCUUAAAGGUCCUUUCCAACUCGAUUCUAUGAAACAAAAAGAUUUCUCCACAUUUUGUACAGAAUAUAGGUCUGUCAUUAAACUCCUUGAAAACUAUGGCCAGAAAGAGGCAAAGAAAGAAGUCUAUUAGAGUCCAUACCAUUCUCCAGUGCUGUGGGUUCCAUCUGACAUCGAGGUGAGGAGCUUCUUGCCAUCUGAUUGCUCACUAGAAACACCUCAGGUUGACCUAGCAGCCUCAAGAUACUUAGAAGUACGUUCCUCACAGAACAUUACUGCAGUCAUAAAACCUGUUCAUAUUUUUAAAAGCAACAAAGAAGGUUGGGGAAGCAGAGGGAUGAGGAGCCAGGCCUGAAAGGACUGUUAAAGAGUGAUGAGUUGAGCACAAGGAGCUCUAAGGGGAAAGAGAGCAUGUGAAAGCACUAGAAAAUGUUAUGUACUAGGUAGGAUGAGAGCAAAAUGGGACAUGAACUAAAGUUGUGAAGGAUGAGGUUAAAACAGGCUGAAAGCACUGUGGCCAUCACAGUCUGCAGGUACUGGAGCCUUCAGUGUUCUGCUGCUGAUAGAUACAGCACACGCUCCUCAGUAUUUAUCUGUUAUUUAAAGCUUUCUCUUUGUUGGCAGUUGCAGCUAGGUGCAGAUCUUUUGCUGACACGUAGUAUUGAAGUAUAUUACUGGUUAUUGAAAUUAAGCUACUGUUGAUAUGAAAGCUUUUGUACAAAAUCAGUGAGAUGAUCAGAAAUCUUGAUUUCAUUGUCUUCACAGAUAUAUGUAACCUGGGAAAGUCUAGCAAGCAUUACUUAUGUGUGUGUGUGUGUGUGUGUGUGAGAGAGAGAGAGAGAGCUGAUGGACUGACCGAGUAUGUAGCACAGGGCUAACAUGGGAAAAGGUAAUGACCACUUCAGAAAGAGGGAGCUGGAAGAACCACUCGUCAAGAUCCUGUCUCUCCUGUUCAAGAGCAACUUAAGCACUGACUACUACACCUCAGGGAACUCACUGAUGUGUGUGCUAAUUACCAACAUAGGGUAUAAGAUCAUUUGUGGCUUAAUCUGUUUAGCUGCACUUGCAUCAAACAUAUGCUUGUUGGCAGACAUUUCCAAUGUCCUUCCUCAUGUCCUUCAUGUUGCCUUCUUACCAUAAGCCAACUUUUGUGACAGCUGGCUUCAAACACUGAUACAAAAUAUCAGCUGAAUAAACUCCACUGGUUUGUCCUUA